rnacentral:rRNA from 1 species
ACAGAACGAAACAGUCUCUCCUAAUACGGGGGGCGAAUGACGGUACUGUAAGAAUAAGCACCGGCUAACUACGUGCCAGCAGCCGCGGUAAUACGUAGGGUGCAAGCGUUAAUCGGAAUUACUGGGCGUAAAGCGUGCGCAGGCGGUUUUGUAAGACAGAUGUGAAAUCCCCGGGCUCAACCUGGGGACCUGCAUUUGUGACUGCAAAGCUAGAGUACGGCAGAGGGGGAUGGAAUUCCGCGUGUAGCAGUGAAAUGCGUAGAUAUGCGGAGGAACACCGAUGGCGAAGGCAAUCCCCUGGGCCUGUACUGACGCUCAUGCACGAAAGCGUGGGGAGCAAACAGGAUUAGAUACCCUGGUAGUCCACGCCCUAAACGAUGUCAACUGGUUGUUGGGCCUUCGCUGGCUCAGUAACGAAGCUAACGCGUGAAGUUGACCGCCUGGGGAGUACGGCCGCAAGGUUGAAACUCAAAGG